GCCAGUGUGGCGUAGUGUUCAAGCGUUGGACUACAAUGCUGAAGACCAGGGUUUGAAUCCCUGCUCAACCA